rnacentral:rRNA from 1 species
GAGUUUGAUCCUGGCUCAGGAUGAACGCUGGCGGCGUGCCUAACACAUGCAAGUCGAGCGAAGCACUUUAAUUUGAUUCUUCGGAUGAGGAUUUUUGUGACUGAGCGGCGGACGGGUGAGUAACGCGUGGGCAACCUGCCUUACACAGGGGGAUAACAGUUAGAAAUGACUGCUAAUACCGCAUAAGACCACAGUACUGCAUGGUGCAGUGGUAAAAACUCCGGUGGUGUAAGAUGGGCCCGCGUCUGAUUAGGUAGUUGGCGGGGUAACGGCCCACCAAGCCGACGAUCAGUAGCCGACCUGAGAGGGUGACCGGCCACAUUGGGACUGAGACACGGCCCAGACUCCUACGGGAGGCAGCAGUGGGGAAUAUUGCACAAUGGGGGAAACCCUGAUGCAGCGACGCCGCGUGAGCGAUGAAGUAUUUCGGUAUGUAAAGCUCUAUCAGCAGGGAAGAAAAUGACGGUACCUGACUA